UCAUUUUGAUUGAAAUUAUGUGCAUAAGAUUGACUCAAGAAAGUAGAAAACAAAAGAAAGCAUGAAAACAGAGGAAAUUGACUGUUAGAAUGCUGUGCAUAAUUAUUACACUUACAGCAUAUUAUCCCACAGCAAGCUUCUGUGAAAGUCUAGCAAUGCAGAGGCUUGAUAAUUGAUAAAAGCCUCCCUAGUCCCUACCCACCCUGCUCAUGUACACCAGAAUCCCAAACAAUGAAUCCAUCCCACGUGUUGUCAUAAGAUGAGCAGGGUUAUUGAGUCACAUAAAUUGUUGGCACCGCAUAAGAACAGAUCGGUUCCCUUCCAAGACGGUAUUGAUAUGAUCAUUUACUGCAGAAAGAUAUAGCCAGUCUUGAAAAGAGGCUGAAAAAUCUUUCACUUUUGCCUUAGCCCACUGCCAUUAUCUAACGAUACCCAUUUCUUUCACUACAUCAAGACUUAUUUGAGCAUUAUUAAAAAUAACAUCAUUUCUGUGAAACCUCAUAAUAGACCAAAUGAUGGCUGCCCACACACUCCACCACAAUUUCUUACCCUUCUUGGCUAAGGUGGUCUUAUUUUCUGAAAAGUGCAAAUUUGAACCUUCGAGUUCUAAAUGUUUGAACAUUAGCUGGAAAAUUAAGUUAGAAUUCCUCUUGUUGUCAAGUGUGCGUUUGAACGGUAGUCAAGAAGUAUUGAAUUUUAUAUACUGAUGAA
rnacentral:lncRNA from 1 species